rnacentral:rRNA from 1 species
GAUGAACGCUGGCGGCGUGCCUAAUACAUGCAAGUCGAGCGAACGGACGAGAAGCUUGCUUCUCUGAUGUUAGCGGCGGACGGGUGAGUAACACGUGGAUAACCUACCUAUAAGACUGGGAUAACUUCGGGAAACCGGAGCUAAUACCGGAUGAUAUUUUGAACCGCAUGGUUCAAAAGUGAAAGACGGUCUUGCUGUCACUUAUAGAUGGAUCCGCGCUGCAUUAGCUAGUUGGUAAGGUAACGGCUUACCAAGGCAACGAUGCAUAGCCGACCUGAGAGGGUGAUCGGCCACACUGGAACUGAGACACGGUCCAGACUCCUACGGGAGGCAGCAGUAGGGAAUCUUCCGCAAUGGGCGAAAGCCUGACGGAGCAACGCCGCGUGAGUGAUGAAGGUCUUCGGAUCGUAAAACUCCGUUAUUAGGGAAGAACAUAUGUGUAAGUAACUGUGCACGUCUUGACGGUACCUAAUCAGAAAGCCACGGCUAACUACGUG